CAGUUAAGCUGCCUUAUGCGAGCACCCUGGAUUUGGACCAAAUAAAAAUGCUAAUAACUUUUUUAUUUUUCAAGGAAAUUAUCUCAGAUUUGAAAUAUAAAAUGGUAUGCCAUAUUUUGAAACAAAAAUGUUAUAAAAAUAUAGAUUUAUUUUCAAAAACGUGACAUGACCAUCGCUGGCUGACAGGACCAACCUCGACAAUGACCGGAC
rnacentral:lncRNA from 1 species